rnacentral:rRNA from 1 species
AUUGAACGCUGGCGGCAUGCCUUACACAUGCAAGUCGAACGGUAACAGGUUAAGCUGACGAGUGGCGAACGGGAGAGUAAUGUAUCGGAACGUGCCCAGUCGUGGGGGAUAACUGCUCGAAAGAGCAGCUAAUACCGCAUACGACCUGAGGGUGAAAGCGGGGGAUCGCAAGACCUCGCGCGAUUGGAGCGGCCGAUAUCAGAUUAGGUAGUUGGUGAGGUAAAGGCUCACCAAGCCGACGAUCUGUAGCUGGUCUGAGAGGACGACCAGCCACACUGGGACUGAGACACGGCCCAGACUCCUACGGGAGGCAGCAGUGGGGAAUUUUGGACAAUGGGCGCAAGCCUGAUCCAGCCAUGCCGCGUGCGGGAAGAAGGCCUUCGGGUUGUAAACCGCUUUUGUCAGGGAAGAAAAGGUUCUGGCUAAUACCUGGGACUCAUGACGGUACCUGAAGAAUAAGCACCGGCUAACUACGUG